AGAACGAACGCUGGCGGCAGGCUUAACACAUGCAAGUCGAACGGUUGUAGCAAUACAGCAGUGGCGCACGGGUGAGUAACGCGUGGGAACAUACCUUAGAGCUCGGAAUAACAGCGGGAAACUGCUGCUAAUACCGGAUAUUCUCUCCGGAGGAAAGAUUUAUCGCUCUAAGAUUGGCCCGCGUCAGAUUAGCUAGUUGGUGGGGUAAUGGCCUACCAAGGCUCCGAUCUGUAGCUGGUCUGAGAGGACGACCAGCCACACUGGAACUGAGACACGGUCCAGACUCCUACGGGAGGCAGCAGUGGGGAAUAUUGGACAAUGGGCGAAAGCCUGAUCCAGCCAUGCCGCGUGAGUGAUGAAGGCCUUAGGGUGUAAAGCUCUUUGUCAGGGAAGAUAAUGACGGUACCUGAAGAAUAAGCACCGGCUAACUUCGUGCCAGCAGCCGC
rnacentral:rRNA from 1 species